rnacentral:misc_RNA from 1 species
AACGCACAUUGCGCCUAAGAGUAUUCUUUUAGGCAUGCCUGUUCGAGCGUCGUUUAAACCCUAAAGCAUUGCUUUUUGUUGGCAUCUCGGAGUUAUUUCGAGUGCCCAAAUACAUUGGCGAUUGAAGUAGCCGAAAGCGCAGCGAAAUGCGAAUUGAAAGCUAUGGAAAGUUUGCCAGUUUACUCUUAAACUCGACCUCGGAUCAAGCAAGAUUACCCGCUGAACUUAA